ACGCACGCUGGCGGCGUGCCUCAUCCCUUCCAGUCGCACGCUUCUUUCCUCCCGAGUGCUUGCACUCAAUUGGAAAGAGGAGUGGCGGACGGGUGAGUAACACGUGGGUAACCUACCCAUCAGAGGGGGAUAACACUUGGAAACCGGUGCUAAUACCGCAUAACCGUUUAUGCCGCAUGGCAUAAGAGUGAAAGGCGCUUUCGGGUGUCGCUGAUGGAUGGACCCGCGGUGCAUUAGCUAGUUGGUGAGGUAACGGCUCACCAAGGCCACGAUGCAUAGCCGACCCGAGAGGGUGAUCGGCCACACUGGGAGUGAGACACGGCCCAGAGUCCGACGGGAGGCAGCAGUAGGGAAUCUUCGGCAAUGGACGAAAGUCUGACCGAGCAACGCAGCGUGAGUGAAGAAGGGUUUCGGAUCGUAAAACGCUGUUGUUAGAGAAGAACAAGGACGUUAGUAACGGAACGUCCCCUGAGGGUAUCGAACCAGAAAGACACGGCUAACUACGG
rnacentral:rRNA from 1 species